rnacentral:rRNA from 1 species
GACAAGAAGACCCUAAGAAUUUUAAAUUUUCUUAAAUUUUUAUAAAAAUUUAAGAAAAUUUUAGUUGGGGUAACUAUAAAAUAUCAUAAACUUUUAAAAAAUAAAAUGAUCCAUUAUUAAUGAUAAUUUGAAAAAAAUACUCUAGGGAUAACAGCGUAAUAAUUUUUGAUAGAACAUAUAGACAAAAUAGUUUGCGACCUCGAUGUUGGAUUAGGAUGCUUUUUUAAUGAAGAUGUUAAAAAAAGAAGUUUGUUCAACUUUUAAAUUCCUACUUGAUCUGAGUUCAGAC